rnacentral:lncRNA from 1 species
GACUUCCACAUGAGAUAUAUCAUCAAAGGCAUACACAACUACACUAAACGACUAAAGUGGAACCAACAUAAACCCAUGAUCAUAAAUUACAUUAACAUGUAUAUAACAUCCAUGAUGAGAGACUUAAAAUCAAGUAUUCCAACCAUUUAAUCUGCAGGUCACAGUCCACUUUUAACACAUAUUAAAAGCUAAGUGCUUCCCAAUCAACUGUACCUUCAUAAAUUAGAAUACAAACUUAACCAAACAAGUUGUCAUACAAAAUAAAACUAUACUACCAAGAACUAAUCCAAAUCUGAUGAUAAACAAGCAUCAGAAGACUAUUAUUGCUCCUCAUCUAGAACUAUAUGAGCUCAUACAUACACUUCAUAUAUAAUAGAUCCAAGGCAUACCUGGAUUUCAAAAGAAAAGCAGAAGUGGAUAGUUCAGCAGUAGGGUUAGACCCAACAACAAAAUCAACCAGGAAAUAACCAAGGAGAACAAUUUUGCAGCCAAGUUCAAACUAGCAGAAGGAUGAAAUGAUACCCAAUAACCAAAAUGCAGCCAAAUCUUAAACCAAAACACUAAAAACCAACAAGUUCAAAUCAUUUUAGACCUCUGAUUAUUCAGGAAUUGUUUUAGAAAUCAAAACCUCAAGAAUCUCAGAAAAUUUUAAUGGAACAAUAAAACUUU